GGAGCUUGCUCCCUUAGGUCAGCGGCGGACGGGUGAGUAACACGUGGGUAACCUGCCUGUAAGACUGGGAUAACUCCGGGAAACCGGGGCUAAUACCGGAUGCUUGAUUGAACCGCAUGGUUCAAUCAUAAAAGGUGGCUUUUAGCUACCACUUGCAGAUGGACCCGCGGCGCAUUAGCUAGUUGGUGAGGUAACGGCUCACCAAGGCGACGAUGCGUAGCCGACCUGAGAGGGUGAUCGGCCACACUGGGACUGAGACACGGCCCAGACUCCUACGGGAGGCAGCAGUAGGGAAUCUUCCGCAAUGGACGAAAGUCUGACGGAGCAACGCCGCGUGAGUGAUGAAGGUUUUCGGAUCGUAAAACUCUGUUGUUAGGGAAGAACAAGUACCGUUCGAAUAGGGCGGCACCUUGACGGUACCUAACCAGAAAGCCACGGCUAACUACGUGCCAGCAGCCGCGGUAAUACGUAGGUGGCAAGCGUUGUCCGGAAUUAUUGGGCGUAAAGCGCGCGCAGGCGGUUUCUUAAGUCUGAUGUGAAAGCCCCCGGCUCAACCGGGGAGGGUCAUUGGAAACUGGGGAACUU
rnacentral:rRNA from 1 species